CCUACGGGGGGCUGCAGUGGGGAAUAUUGGACAAUGGGCGAAAGCCUGAUCCAGCCAUGCCGCGUGUGUGAAGAAGGCCUUCGGGUUGUAAAGCACUUUCAGUGGGGAAGAAAGCCUUGGGGCUAAUACCCUCGAGGAAGGACAUCACCCACAGAAGAAGCACCGGCUAACUCCGUGCCAGCAGCCGCGGUAAUACGGAGGGUGCGAGCGUUAAUCGGAAUUACUGGGCGUAAAGCGCGCGUAGGCGGUCUGAUAAGCCGGUUGUGAAAGCCCCGGGCUCAACCUGGGAACGGCAUCCGGAACUGUCAGGCUAGAGUGCAGGAGAGGAAGGUAGAAUUCCCGGUGUAGCGGUGAAAUGCGUAGAGAUCGGGAGGAAUACCAGUGGCGAAGGCGGCCUUCUGGACUGACACUGACGCUGAGGUGCGAAAGCGUGGGUAGCAAACAGGACUAGAUACCCCUGUAGUC
rnacentral:rRNA from 1 species